rnacentral:rRNA from 1 species
GAUGAACGCUGGCGGCGUGCUUAACACAUGCAAGUCGAACGGUGAAGCAGGAGCUUGCUCUUGUGGAUCAGUGGCGAACGGGUGAGUAACACGUGAGCAACCUGCCCCUGACUCUGGGAUAAGCGCUGGAAACGGCGUCUAAUACUGGAUAUGUGACGUGACCGCAUGGUCUGCGUUUGGAAAGAUUUUUCGGUUGGGGAUGGGCUCGCGGCCUAUCAGCUUGUUGGUGAGGUAAUGGCUCACCAAGGCGUCGACGGGUAGCCGGCCUGAGAGGGUGACCGGCAACACUGGGACUGAGACACGGCCCAGACUCCUACGGGAGGCAGCAGUGGGGAAUAUUGCACAAUGGGCGGAAGCCUGAUGCAGCAACGCCGCGUGAGGGAUGACGGCCUUCGGGUUGUAAACCUCUUUUAGCAGGGAAGAAGCGAAAGUGACGGUACCUGCAGAAAAAGCGCCGGCUAACUACGUGCCAGCAGCCGCCGUAACAC